UGAAUCGGGUCGCGGACGCCGGCACGUUGCUACGGAGGACGAAGACGAACGACACGACGGCGCCGCCGUCGGGCGUCGGCCGUCGGCCGUCGCUGGCGAGGAUGGCCGACGCGCCGACAGAAUCUGGGCUUGUGAAUAUCGUUAUCGUGAACCGGCCCACUAGCAUAGCAAUGGGUAUCAUCAGGCCCGUCAUCUGUGUCAUUAGGCCUGGAUCUAUGGGCCAGCGUCUAUU
rnacentral:lncRNA from 1 species